GUCUGGGUGGCACAGCGGGUAGUGCUGUUGUCUCACGUGCAAGAGGCUAUGGGUUUGAUCCCCGCUCAGUCU
rnacentral:tRNA from 1 species